AGGAGGCAGCGGGGAUUCGACUUCCCCUGGGGGUA
rnacentral:tRNA from 1 species